GAUGAACGCUGGCGGCGUGCCUAAUACAUGCAAGUCGAGCGAACGGACGAGAAGCUUGCUUCUCUGAUGUUAGCGGCGGACGGGUGAGUAACACGUGGAUAACCUACCUAUAAGACUGGGAUAACUUCGGGAAACCGGAGCUAAUACCGGAUAAUAUUUUGAACCGCAUGGUUCAAAAGUGAAAGACGGUCUUGCUGUCACUUAUAGAUGGAUCCGCGCUGCAUUAGCUAGUUGGUAAGGUAACGGCUUACCAAGGCAACGAUGCAUAGCCGACCUGAGAGGGUGAUCGGCCACACGGGAACUGAGACACGGUCCAGACUCCUACGGGAGGCAGCAGUAGGGAAUCUUCCGCAAUAGGCGAAAGCCUGACGGAGCAACGCCGCGUGAGUGAUGAAGGUCUUCGGAUCGUAAAACUCUGUUAUUAGGGAAGAACAUAUGUGUAAGUAACUGUGCACAUCUUGACGGUACCUAAUCAGAAAGCCACGGCUAACUACGUG
rnacentral:rRNA from 1 species